UGGGGAAUUUUGGACAAUGGGCGAAAGCCUGAUCCAGCAAUGCCGCGUGUGUGAAGAAGGCCUUCGGGUUGUAAAGCACUUUUGUCCGGAAAGAAAUCCUUGGCUCUAAUACAGUCGGGGGAUGACGGUACCGGAAGAAUAAGCACCGGCUAACUCUGUG
rnacentral:rRNA from 1 species